rnacentral:rRNA from 1 species
GAUGAACGCUAGCGAUAGGCUUAACACAUGCAAGUCGAGGGGCAGCGAGGAUUAGCAAUAAUUUGUCGGCGACCGGCGCACGGGUGAGUAACACGUAUGCAACCUACCCAUAACUGGGGAAUAACCCGUCGAAAGGCGGACUAAUACCGCAUAACAACAAUGAUCCGCAUGGUGAUUUGUUUAAAGAUUUAUCGGUUAUGGAUGGGCAUGCGUUCCAUUAGGUAGUUGGCGGGGCAACGGCCCACCAAACCUGCGAUGGAUAGGGGUUCUGAGAGGAAGGUCCCCCACACUGGUACUGAGACACGGACCAGACUCCUACGGGAGGCAGCAGUGAGGAAUAUUGGUCAAUGGGCGAGAGCCUGAACCAGCCAAAUCGCGUGAAGGAUGAAGGUAUUAUGUAUUGUAAACUUCUUUUACAGGGGAAUAAAGUGCACCACGUGUGGUGUUUUGUAUGUACCCUAGGAAUAAGGAUCGGCUAACUCCGUGCCAGCAGCCGCCGCAGUAA